AUGUCUAGCUUCGGCGUCAACGCCAUACCCGCAGCCAACCACGAGGAGCAGAGCCUUGCGGCCCCUGCCCUGCCCCCUGCCGCCGCCGUCGCCCAGGGGAAAGGGAAGGUGUUUGCGCAACAGGCGCCUGCGCCGGUGGUUCGCAAGCGCAAGCAGAAGGAGAAGACCCCGCCCCCAGCAGCCACCAGAGAGGAGCUGGAAUCCCGGGAGUCCCGGGAAGGACCCUUGAAGGUGCUUGCACUCCCGGCGCCAGGGGCCCCGCGUGCUUAUGCUGUCUCAGACGACAAGAUGAUGAGCCGUGCUCACACCCCAACACGGCGUGCAAGCGGAAACAAGAUGAUGGACAAGAACGAGAUGGCACCGGUCCAGGGGGUGCCGCGCAUGCGGGGGAGCAUCGCGUCGUCAAGUGCGGUUGGUGGGGUCGAGAGUGAAGGAGUGCGGAGCUUGGAAACAGGGAAAAUGGCACCAAGAGUGGUUCAGUUCUCCACUAUGAAUACCCACAACAUUGAUCUGAAUGAGGUGCCGACUGAGCAUGUGUAG
rnacentral:rRNA from 1 species